UCUCCAGCUGUUUUUGGACAAUUUCCAUCAUCCCUAACCACUGGUCCUGCUAGCUAGGGAUGAUGGUGGUAGUCUAAGAACAACUGGAGA